UGGGGAAUAUUGGACAAUGGGCGCAAGCCUGAUCCAGCCAUGCCGCGUGAGUGAUGAAGGCCCUAGGGUUGUAAAGCUCUUUCACCGGUGAAGAUAAUGACGGUAACCGGAGAAGAAGCCCCGGCUAACUUCGUGCCAGCAGCCGCGGUAAUACGAAGGGGGCUAGCGUUGUUCGGAUUUACUGGGCGUAAAGCGCACGUAGGCGGACUAUUAAGUCAGGGGUGAAAUCCCGGGGCUCAACCCCGGAACUGCCUUUGAUACUGGUAGUCUUGAGUUCGAGAGAGGUGAGUGGAAUUCCGAGUGUAGAAGUGAAAUUCGUAGAUAUUCGGAGGAACACCAGUGGCGAAGGCGACUCACUGGCUCGAUACUGACGCUGAGGUGCGAAAGCGUGGGGAGCAAACAGG
rnacentral:rRNA from 1 species